rnacentral:rRNA from 1 species
GACGAACGCUGGCGGCGUGCUUAACACAUGCAAGUCGAACGGAAAGGCCCUGCUUUUGUGGGGUGCUCGAGUGGCGAACGGGUGAGUAACACGUGAGUAACCUGCCCUUGACUUUGGGAUAACUUCAGGAAACUGGGGCUAAUACCGGAUGGGAGCUCCUGCUGCAUGGUGGGGGUUGGAAAGUUUCGGCGGUUGGGGAUGGACUCGCGGCUUAUCAGCUUGUUGGUGGGGUAGUGGCUUACCAAGGCUUUGACGGGUAGCCGGCCUGAGAGGGUGACCGGCCACAUUGGGACUGAGAUACGGCCCAGACUCCUACGGGAGGCAGCAGUGGGGAAUAUUGCACAAUGGGCGGAAGCCUGAUGCAGCAACGCCGCGUGCGGGAUGACGGCCUUCGGGUUGUAAACCGCUUUCGCCUGUGACGAAGCGUGAGUGACGGUAAUGGGUAAAGAAGCACCGGCUAACUACGUGCCAGCAGCCGCAGUAA